UGGGGAAUAUUGGACAAUGGGGGAAACCCUGAUCCAGCAAUGCCGCGUGAGUGAAGAAGGCCUUAGGGUUGUAAAGCUCUUUCGCCCGUGACGAUGAUGACGGUAACGGGAGAAGAAGCCCCGGCUAAUUCCGUGCCAGCAGCCGCGGUAAUACGGAAGGGGCUAGCGUUGUUCGGAUUUACUGGGCGUAAAGCGCAUGUAGGCGGCGGAUCAAGUGAGGCGUGAAAGGCCUGGGCUCAACCUGGGAACG
rnacentral:rRNA from 1 species